GAUGAACGCUGGCGGCGUGCCUAAUACAUGCAAGUCGAGCGAACGGACGAGAAGCUUGCUUCUCUGAUGUUAGCGGCGGACGGGUGAGUAACACGUGGAUAACCUACCUAUAAGACUGGGAUAACUUCGGGAAACCGGAGCUAAUACCGGAUAAGAUUUUGAACCGCAUGGGUCAAUAGUGAAAGACGGUCUUUCUGUCACUUAUAGAUGGAUCCGCGCUGCAUUAGCUAGUUGGUAAGGUAACGGCUUACCAAGGCAACGAUGCAUAGCCGACCUGAGAGGGGGAUCGGCCACACUGGAACUGAGCCACGGUCCAGACUCCUACGGGAGGCAGCAGUAGGGAACCGUACGCAGUGGGCGAAAGCCUGGCGGAGCGACGCGGAGCGAGUGGUGACGGCCCUCCGAGCGUAAAACUCUGUUAUUAGGGAAGAACAUAUGUGUAAGUAACCGUGGACAGCGUGACGGUACCUAAUCAGAAAGCCACGGCUAACUACGUG
rnacentral:rRNA from 1 species